rnacentral:lncRNA from 1 species
CUGGAGGUGGGUUUGGCUUUCUCUUAAUGGUUUUCCAUGGGCAAACGCUCCUUGGCUGUAAGCCCGAUGGAUUUUUGCAUUGGAAGUUGAGCCCUGUUCUAUUUGGGGGUCUCUUUGCCCCACUGCAACUGUCUCUGGUCAGAAUCUGCUGUUACCAAUUUAACUCCUGCACAGACCUGGUUCUCUCUGAUAGUUAAGUGGGUUCCUUGCGAGUAAUGCAAGGACCACGGAAGCCCCCAACCUUGGAGUGCCCCUGAAGCCCACUCUCCUGUGCCCGAUGUCAUCAAGACAGCAGAGAUGCCCAGUCCACCCACGGCCACAGUGACCCAGCUGGUUGAGUGGUUACGAGGCCUGCAGUGAGAGAGAGGUCAGUCAGGAAAUGCCCCCCCAUUCCCCUAGCCUGAUGGGCCAUGUGCAAACAGGGACUGGCGUCCUGAGGGCAGCACCAUGAACAUUUCCUGUCCCCCAUAGCCUGGACAAUGGCCCUCAAUGUGCCUUGGGCCUUCUGGGCAUUUCUGAGCUGCUGCUCCUUAUGCGGGCUGAGCUUCCAGGCUCUGUGCCGUAGCUGUGGAUGCCCACUGCAGGCGGACACUGAGGUGGCUGCUGAGCAAGCCUGGGGGGCAGCAGAGAGGGUGGGGAGGGCUUUCCUGAGGCCCAGCAGCAACAAGUGCCCUGAGCUCAACACUCAUCAGUGUUGACAAGGACACUGGACACAGGCGGCCUGGGGGCAGAGGAGGGGAUGCACAGGUGGACACUGUUGGCCACCUGGGGUUGCAAAUAGGAGCAAGUGUCUUUGUAGAGGGUGCCCAGGGCCGAGGAGCUGCUGCUUUGGGCAUACAGCCUGGGGGAAGGGCAGGUCCUCUCUGGGCCUCAGUCUCUGCAUUGGGCUGCUGUUGAGUGGUCCUCCAGGACUGUGAUGGUGACAGGAGGAGCGAGUGGCCGCAGGACAAGUCAGGCCCGUCCCGAGGGGUGCUCUGCCCUAGGAUGUGUGUGCAUUGGCCCCACCAGGGCUCCCAGGUGCCUUCAGGUGCCUGUCCAGCCUUUGCUGCCUCCAGGCCCUGAGGAGGGGAAUCAAACCCUGGGCUUGGCUGGGAGGCAUCUGAAGUGCUAAUGGCUGGCCGUGCGCGUCCGGCUGGGGAUCAUUCCCAAAAGCCAGAUCAGAAACACAGAGAAGCUCGUUUGAUACGUUUCCAGGACGCCAGCUCCAAAUGGCGCAAGGAGCUGACAGGCGGCGGCCGGGCCACGGUCUCUGCGUGCACUCGCAGCAGUCCCGGGCUUCGGGGACAGCUCUUCGAGAGCUAUCAUUUCACUCUGCGGUCCUGUCUCCCUCCUUUCUUCUUCAUCUGACCCCCAGGGGCGAUUCUUGCCUCCCAGGAUGGACCAGCCACAGCUGAGAAACACAUGAGCCCCUGCCUUGCCCUGGCCAGUGGUCCUCCACAGCGAAGUCCACCUUGACUGGUGUCCCGAGAGCUCUGGGAGUGGGCUCCACACAGCCCGCUGGCUCUUUCUGAGGUGUGAAGAUGGGGUCUCAGAGCCUGGUGUACCAGCCCUGCUAUCGGGACCCUUCUGGGCCCAGCAGGGCCUGUCCAACUCGGGCCGCAGUCACUGAUGGCCUUCAUGUGGGCAGCAGGGCCACACAGUCCAACACCACCUGGCGUGCACCCAGGAGGAGCCAGGAGCACACGGUGCCCACGGGAGACACCUGUGUCAGUGCCCGAGGUCUGGCCUUGGAAGCUGUCCCAGACAAGCCCCGCACCUUGAGCUCUUGCCUUUCUGACAUAGGGAGAGGCACCUGGUGCCACAGGGUGUGUCGACCCCUUUCUUAUCUGCUGCCCCACAAACCACAAAGCCUCCCUCCCCCUGAAGCCGGCUCCUCCCUCCACGCCCUCCCC